GAUUGCAGCCUGCAACUCGGCUGCAUGAAGCCGGAAUCGCUAGUAAUCGCGGAUCAGAAUGCCGCGGUGAAUACGCUCCCGGGUCUUGUACACACCGCCCGUCACACCAUGGGAGUCGGGAAUGCCCGAAGUCUGUGACCCAACCAUUAAGGAGGGAGCAGCCGAAGGCAGGUCGGAUGACUGGGGUGAAGUCGUAACAAGGUAUC
rnacentral:rRNA from 1 species